CCCGCUGAACUUAAGCAUAUCAAUAAGCGGAGGAAAAGAAACUAACAAGGAUUCCCCUAGUAACUGCGAGUGAAGCGGGAAAAGCUCAAAUUUAAAAUCUGGCGGUCUUUCGGCCGUCCGAGUUGUAAUCUGGAGAAGCGUUUAUCCGCGUUGGACCGUGUACAAGUCUUCUGGAAGGGAGCGUCAUAGAGGGUGAGAAUCCCGUCUUUGACACGGACUACCAAUGCUUUUGUGAUGCGCUCUCGAAGAGUCGAGUUGUUUGGGAAUGCAGCUCAAAAUGGGUGGUAAAUUCCAUCUAAAGCUAAAUAUUGGCGAGAGACCGAUAGCGAACAAGUACCGUGAGGGAAAGAUGAAAAGCACUUUGGAAAGAGAGUUAAACAGUACGUGAAAUUGUUGAAAGGGAAACGUUUGAAGUCAGUCGCGUCGGCCGAGACUCAGCCUUGCUUCCGCUCGGUGCACUUCUCGGUUGACGGGUCAGCAUCAGUUUUGGCCGGUGGAUAAAGGUUCAGAGAAUGUGGCAUCCUCGGAUGUGUUAUAGCUCUGGGUCGCAUACAUCGGCUGGGACUGAGGAACUCAGCACGCCGCAAGGCCAGGUUUCGACCAUGUUCGUGCUUAGGAUGCUGGCAUAAUGGCUUUAAUCGACCCGUCUUGAAACACGG
rnacentral:rRNA from 1 species